UGAGGAACAUGACCUUCGGCGGGGGGAUAGCCGGCCCAACGGCCGGGUAAUACCGCGUACGACCACAUGGGGACAUCCCUGAGUGGUGAAAGCAGCAAUGCGCCGAUGGAGUGCCUCGCGGCCUAUCAGCUAGUUGGUGGGGUAAUGGCUCACCAAGGCGACGACGGGUAGCUGGUCUGAGAGGAUGGCCAGCCACAUUGGGACUGAGAUACGGCCCAGACUCUACGGGAG
rnacentral:rRNA from 1 species